ensembl:lncRNA
GGAAAAAUGGGGAAAAAAUGGGGGAAAAUGUGGAGAAAAUGGGGGGAAAUGGGGAAAAAGUGGGGGGAAAUGGGGAAAAAUGGGGAGAAAAUGGGGAAAAAUGGGGGUUUUGGGGGGAAAAUGGGAUUUUUAGAGGGAAAAAUAGGGUUUCUAGGGGGAAAUGGGAAUUUUAUGGGGAAAAUGGGAAUUUUAGGGGAAAAUGGGGAUAAAAUGGGAAUUUUGGGGGGGAAAAUGGGGAUUUUGGGGGGAAAUUGGGAAAAAAUGGGGAUUUUUGGGGAAAAAUGGGAAUUUUAGGAGGAAAAAUGGGAUUUUGGGGGGAAAAUGGGGAAAAAAUAGGAUUUUUUUGGAGAAAAUGGGAUUUUUAGGGGAAAAAAUGGGGAAAAGUGGAUUUUUAGAGAGAAUAAUGGAGUUUUUAGGAGGAAAAAUGGGAAUUUUGGGGGAGAAACGAAGAAAAAACGGGAUUUUGUGGGGGGGAAAAGAAUUAUUUUGGGACCAAGGAUGAGGAUUUGGGGUUUCUGGGAUAGAAAAAGGAAAUUCCACGAUUUUUUGGGAUUCCAGAGAAUUUUAUUGGCAUCCAGAGCAGCUUUAGGAACAUUUUUUAGGAUUUUUGAUCAUUUUUGGGGGGAGGGAUUUUGGAGCUUGGGAAUAAAAUUUAGGAACUUUUUUUUUUUGGAGGAUCCACCAUAAUUUUUUUUUUGGAAUUUUGGAGCUCGGGAAUAAAAUUUUUAGGAUCCAGGAGAAGAAUUUUGGGAUAAAAGAAGAGAAUUCCAAGAUUUUUUUGGCAUUCAGGAGCAUUUUUUUGGGGGGAUCCGCUGCAGUUUUAGCGCCGUUUUUUCACCUUUUAUCCCCGAAUUUUCACCCAUUCCCACUGGAAUUUCUCUGCAAUUCCAAGAAUUUCUUGGGAAUUCUGGGAAUUCCAUCCCAUUUUCCCUGUUUUCCAGAACCCCCUGCAGGUCCUGGUCAACGCCAUCAUCAACUCCGGCCCCCGCGAGGACUCGACUCGGAUCGGCCGCGCCGGCACCGUCCGCAGACAAGCCGUCGACGUCUCCCCUCUCCGCAGGGUCAACCAGGUCCUUCCCCACCCCAAAUCCCCAAAAUUCCCACAUUCCCAAGGAUUUUUCCAUGGUUCUGGUUUGUCCUGAUUUUUUGGGAAUUUUUCCCAUUUUUUUGCAAUUUUUUUUGCUUUUUUUCCCAUUUUUUUUGGUUUUUUUUCUUCUCUGCUGGGUCAACCAGGUCCUUCCCCACCCCAAAUCCCAAAAAUUCCCACAUUCCCAAGGAUUUUUCCAUACUUUUGGUUUGUCCUGAUUUUUUGGGAAUUUUUCCCUUUUUUUUUCCUUUUUUUUUCCCAUUUUUCUUGGUUUUUUUCUCUUUUUUUUUGUUUGUUCUCCCAGUUUUUUUCCUCUUUGCAGGGUCAACCAGGUCCUUCCCCACCCCAAAUCCCCAAAAUUCCCACAUUCCCAAGGAUUUUUCCAUAGUUCUGGUUUAUCCUGAUUUUUUGGGAAUUUUUCCCAUUUUUUUUGGCCUUUUUUUUCCCAUUUUUUUCUCGUUUUAUUCCAUUUUUCUUUCUCUCCGCAGGGUCAACCAGGUCCUUCCCCAUCCCCAAAUCCCAAAAAUUCCCACAUUCCCAAAGAUUUUUCAAUGGUUCUGGUUUAUCCUGAUUUUUUGGGAAUUUUUCCCAUUUUUUUCCCCAUUUUUUCCUCAUUUUUUUGCUUUUUUUUCCCUUUUUUUUUUGGGUUUUUUUCCUUUUCUUCCUAAUUUUUUUGCUCUCUGCUGGGUCAACCAGGUCCUUCCCCACCCCAAAUCCCCAAAAUUCCCACAUUCCCAAGGAUUUUUCCAUAGUUUUGGUUUAUCCUGA